AACGUAGGUGGCAAGCGUUAUCCGGAUUUACUGGGCGUAAAGGGUGUGCAGGCGGGGGACCAAGUGGUGUAUGAAAGGGUCAGGCUCAACCUGGCGAGGGUAUGCCAGACUGGUCGUCUAGAACGUGAGAGAGGGACGUGGAGUUCCGGGUGUAGUGGUGAAAUGCGUAGAGAUCCGGAGGAACACCAGAGGCGAAAGCGGCGUCCUGGCUCACUGUUGACGCUCAGACACGAAAGCAUGGGGAGCGAACGGG
rnacentral:rRNA from 1 species